GGGGCUGAUUCUGGAUUCGACGGGAUUUGCGAAACCCAAGGUGCAUGCCGAGGGGCGGUUGGCCUCGUAAAAAGCCGCAAAAAAAUAGUCGCAAACGACGAAAACUACGCUUUAGCAGCUUAAUAACCUGCUUAGAGCCCUCUCUCCCUAGCCUCCGCUCUUAGGACGGGGAUCAAGAGAGGUCAAACCCAAAAGAGAUCGCGCGGAUGCCCUGCCUGGGGUUGAAGUGUUAAAACGAAUCAGGCUAGUCUGGUAGUGGCGUGUCCGUCCGCAGGUGCCAGGCGAAUGUAAAGACUGACUAAGCAUGUAGUACCGAGGAUGUAGGAAUUUCGGACGCGGGUUCAACUCCCGCCAGCUCCACCA
rnacentral:tmRNA from 2 species